AGUGAACGCUGGCGGUAGGCCUAACACAUGCAAGUCGAACGGCAGCACAGUAAGAGUUUGCUCUUACGGGUGGCGAGUGGCGGACGGGUGAGGAAUACAUCGGAAUCUACUUUUUCGGGGGGGAUAACGUAGGGAAACUUACGCUAAUACCGCAUACGACCUACGGGUGAAAGCAGGGGAUCUUCGGACCUUGCGCGAUUGAAUGAGCCGAUGUCGGAUUAGCUAGUUGGCGGGGUAAAGGCCCACCAAGGCGACGAUCCGUAGCUGGUCUGAGAGGAUGAUCAGCCACACUGGAACUGAGACACGGUCCAGACUCCUACGGGAGGCAGCAGUGGGGAAUAUUGGACAAUGGGCGCAAGCCUGAUCCAGCCAUACCGCGUGGGUGAAGAAGGCCUUCGGGUUGUAAAGCACUUUUGUUGGGAAAGAAAAGCAGCAGGUUAAUACCCCGCUGUUCUGACGGUACCCAAAGAAUAAGCACCGGCUAACUUCGUG
rnacentral:rRNA from 1 species